rnacentral:rRNA from 1 species
UACGAAGGGGGCUAGCGUUGUUCGGAAUUAUUGGGCGUAAAGGGUGCGUAGGCGGCCUGACAAGUCUGAUGUGAAAUCCCUGGGCUCAACCCAGGGCCUGCAUCGGAAACUGUCGGGCUUGAGUAUGGGAGAGGUGAGUGGAAUUUCCGGUGUAGCGGUGAAAUGCGUAGAUAUCGGAAGGAACACCUGUGGCGAAAGCGGCUCACUGGACCAUUACUGACGCUGAGGCACGAAAGCUAGGGGAGCAAACAGG